UGCAGAGUUACAGCUUCAGGCUUGAAUAUAGUAAGAUUUUGCUAUGUUUAUGGAGGCAUGAGGGUCCCAGGGGGGCUAGAUGGUGGUGUUAACACUAUAGGGUCAUGAAUUCAUGUUUGUGUUCCUGACCCUUUAGUGAUCCUUUAAGGUAAUGAUGACUUUGGUCUCUCUAACACUGACAUGUUCCCUUUCUUCUACACUCACUACAUACAGCUUUUCUCUGUCCCAGACUAUAUACCAGGAGCUUCUGCCUGCUACUAAGAAGGUAAGGAGACAAGUGGACCAGCUAGUGCUAGG